UACAGAGGGGGCAAGCGUUGUUCGGAAUUACUGGGCGUAAAGGGCGCGUAGGCGGCCUGUUAAGUCGAACGUGAAAUCCCCGGGCUCAACCCGGGAACUGCGUCCGAUACUGGCAGGCUUGAAUUCGGGAGAGGGAUGCGGAAUUCCAGGUGUAGCGGUGAAAUGCGUAGAUAUUCGCAAGAACACCAGUGGCGAAGGCGGCUUACUGGUCCGGAUCUGACGCUGAGGCGCGAAAGCGUGGGGAGCAAACAGG
rnacentral:rRNA from 1 species